UAAAAUAUAAAGAGAUAUGAAACGAAUGAAAAAUGAACUUUGUUAGCGUUUAUGGUCACGUUCAAGUCUAGUCGCGGUUUCAGUCGUCAACCGAAAUUCAUUCGUCGUCAUCGAGCAGUGGCGACAAUUUACAUUUCAAUCAGUGAUAGUGCUCUGUUAUGGAUAAUACAUUAUUGUACUGCGUUUGAAAAGUGUGCCACCGAACACUUCGCAAGUCACUAACGUAUGGAAUACAUUUGACACAAACGUCGCCUCCAAAGCUUUUAUCGCGCGAAGCACAGACGAGAGCGCGCGCAUGUGCGCGCACACACGAGGGCGAAGGCUGCAGCGGAUCAUGUUUAUGUAUAAGACACAACGUGCGUGGAUGUGACUCAGUGAGUUGAAACCUCGUCUUGUGCUUGUUCCCAGGCUUUGUGAGUCAACGUGUCACUUGGAUUUCACUUAGUACGUCUCAGAGUGAGGGUGAACUGUGUCACGCUGCACACUGUGUCUUUUGAUUGUUUGCCUUUGUUGCAGCUAAUGGAAAUCCUGCCCUGUCGUCUCAGGCUGGUCCGUGACUGAGAACUACUUAGUCUGUGCUGAGAGUUCGAUGUUCUUUAAAGUGUCCUCUAAUUGGUUCUUCUUCUUAUUAGGCGUCAAUGUUGUUAAUCGUUCAUCAUUAACACAUAUUGCCCAGCAGCUGAAUGGUUUGUGACGUCACUGAAGCUCUAGCUGACAGUCUGAAGCUUGAGUUGUUAACAUUAAAUGGUACAGAUGAGUCUUAAUCAUUGUCUCCUUUGUGUCUACAUCCAGAUACCUCCCAGUAAGACACUGGAUUCCUCCCAUCGUUAUGGACGCACUCCAUCGACUGCAUGACAAACAGGACGAGUUGUCACUUCCACUUCCAGAGGAUCUCAUUGCUUUCCUUCAGGUCCAAGUCUGACUAGUGGGCCAGCCUGUCUGAACUGAAGCUGCUUAAGGAGUCGACAACAUGAGACGACAACAGUUGUCAUCGUAUGACCAGAACUGGUGCACUUCUACAAGGAAACGCUGCAGGGCAGAAAGCCUAAUGACUUCAUAUCAAGUGGGGACCUGCACGCAAUCGAUUGACAGACAGUAUGUGGCCCAGCGACCGCUAGUUUGGGACGCCAGAUAUCAAGCAUAGAAAAGAGAUGGAUGUCGGCAGGAGGUGCAGACCACUGGUGAACUCAAGGCAGAUGUCUAACAGCUGCAGGUGUCAUGGUCUGCUCUGCUCCUGGUUUCCAAGUGCCGAAAGAGAACGCUUCCGAUGGUUCACAUCAAGGGCAGCCGUUAGCAUAGCAGAAGAGGAAUGUCAUCAUCACUUCACUCACCUUCGUCGCCCAUUUAACCUGGCUCUGGAUUAGUCUCUCGAUACUCUCCAGACCAGAGGGUUGAGUUCUUGCUACUUAACCUGUGUGACUGGACGUCUGAACUACAUCAAGCACCCCCUGUAGUAAAGAAGUGGUAACUACAUGCGAAACGACUUUGGGGAAGAAGAGAGGUGAAAAGACUGAAGACAGACAGAGAGA